rnacentral:tRNA from 1 species
GCGGGAGUAGCUCAUUCGGUAGAGCGCUGCCUUGCCAAGGCAGAGGUGGCGGGUUCGAGCCCCGUCUCCCGCUCCA